rnacentral:rRNA from 1 species
UACGAAGGGAGCUAGCGUUGUUCGGAAUCACUGGGCGUAAAGCGCACGUAGGCGGAUGUGUCAGUCAGGGGUGAAAUCCCGGAGCUCAACUUCGGAACUGCCUUUGAUACAGCACGUCUUGAGUCCGAUAGAGGUGGGUGGAAUUCCCGGUGUAGCGGUGAAAUGCGCAGAUAUCGGGAAGAACACCCGUGGCGAAGGCGGUUCUCUGGGACGGUACUGACGCUGAGACACGAAAGCGUGGGGAGCGAACAGG